rnacentral:rRNA from 1 species
GAUAAACGCUGGCGGCGUGCCUAACACAUGCAAGUCGAGCGAUCCCGCAAGGGAGAGUGGCGGAAGGGUGAGUAACACGUGGGAAUCUACCUCCUCGCAGGGAACAACCUCUCGAAAGAGAGGCUAAUACCCAAAAGGGUCAGAAAUGAUCAGAGUCGAAAGGCGUGAGGAGAGGAGCCCGCGGCCCAUCAGCUAGUUGGUGAGGUAAUGGCUUACCAAGGCUACGACGGGUAGGGGAUCUGAGAGGAUGUCCCCCACACUGGAACUGAAACAACGGUCCAGACGCCUACGGGUGGGCAGCAGUGAGGAAUAUUGGACAAAUGGGCGGAAGCCGGUCCCAGCAACGCCGCGUGGAGGAUGAAGGCCUCGGUCGUAACGUACUUAGUAGGAGGACGAGAAGGAACGGU